GGAUGCUCCUUAUAUUGUGGGUGGAUUGGGCCUGGAAGAAGAGCCUUCGAAGCCUCAGGAAACCAAGAGGUGGGUUGGGCCUGGAAGAAGAGCCUUCGAAGCCUCAGGAAACCAAAAGGAUAGUCUGAUCUUUCUAAAAAUGCUUCUAUUAAGUUCUAUUAAGCUGGAAACAAAUACACAUAUUCAGUAAAGGAUGCUCCUUAUAUUGCAGGUGGGUUGGGCCUGGAAGAAGAGCCUUCGAAGCCUCUGGAAACCGAGAGGUUAGUCUGAUCUUUCUAAAAAUGCUUCUAUUAAGCAGGAAAUAAAUACACAUAUUCAGUAAAGGAUGCUCCUUAUAUUGCGGGUGGGUUGGGCCUGGAAGAAGAGCCUUCGAAGCAUCAGGAAACCAAGAGGUGGGUUGGGCCUGGAAGAAGAGCCUUCGAAGCGUCAGGAAACCAAGAGGU